rnacentral:rRNA from 1 species
UACGGGGGGGGGCAAGCGUUGUUCGGAAUUACUGGGCGUAAAGGGCUCGUAGGCGGCCAACUAAGUCAGACGUGAAAUCCCUCGGCUUAACCGGGGAACUGCGUCUGAUACUGGUUGGCUUGAAUCCGGGAGAGGGAUGUGGAAUUCCAGGUGUAGCGGUGAAAUGACGUAGAUAUCUGGAGGAACACCGGUGGCGAAGGCGGCAUCCUGGACCGGUAUUGACGCUGAGGAGCGAAAGCCAGGGGAGCAAAGCGGG